CGCCCACGGCGCCAAGUCCACCAUCCUCUCCACCACUCUCUCCAACGCCCUCCGCUUCUGCAACUCCAUCCACCGCGACCAAACCCACAACCGCCUCAUCUCCAUCCACGUCCUCGACCUCCCAAACGACGCCGUCCCACCCGACACCUCCAUGUCCGCCGCCCCCUUCACCGACACCUCCGUCUUCAAACAACCCCUCCGCCACUUCCUCACCCAACACCCUCCCGACUGCAUCGUCAUCGACGUCUUCCACCGCUGGGCCUCUGACGUCAUCGACUCCCUCGGAAUCAGACGAAUCGUCUUCAACGGAAACGGGUUCUUCUCCCGCUGCGUCAUGCAGAACGUCGGGAAAUUCGCGCCGCAGGAGA
rnacentral:lncRNA from 1 species